rnacentral:snoRNA from 1 species
UGCAGAUGAUGUGAGAGAAUAUUUGCUAUCCGAAGGAUGGUGAUGACAUUCAAACCACCAAGAUCGCUGAUGCA